UUUCCGUAGGUGAACCUGCGGAAGGAUCAUUAUUGUAUAACCGAGGUGCGAGGGCUGUCGCUGACCCGAAAGGUCGUGCACGCCCGAGUGCCCUCACACACAUCCAUCUCACCCCUAUGUGCACCACCGCGUGGGUCCCCCUUUGGCUUGUUCGGAGGGGGGCUUACGUUUUCACACAAACUUUGUAUGCAGUGUAGAAUGUAUUUUUUGUUUUUGCGAUCACGCAAUCAAUACAACUUUCAACAACGGAUCUCUUGGCUCUCACAUCGAUGGAGAACGCAGC
rnacentral:misc_RNA from 1 species